UUGGAGGGCAAGUCUGGUGCCAGCAGCCGCGGUAAUUCCAGCUCCAAUAGCGUAUAUUAAAGUUGUUGCAGUUAAAAAGCUCGUAGUUGAAUUUUAGGCCUGGCCGGGCGGUCCGUCUUUGGCGAGUACUGUCUGUUGUUGGGUCUUCCUUCUGGUGAACCAGUAUGUCCUUUAUUGGGUGUGUUGGGGAGCCAGGACCAUUACCUUGAAAAAAUUAGAGUGUUUAAAGCGGGCUAUUGCUUGAAUAGAUUAGCAUGGAAUAAUAGAAUAGGACGUUGUGGUUCUAUUUUGUUGGUUCCUAGGACCACCGUAAUGAUUAAUAGGGAUAGUUGGGGGCAUUAGUAUUCAAUUGUCAGAGGUGAGAUUCUUGGAUUUAUUGAAGACUAACUAUUGCGAAAGCAUUUGCCAAGGAUGUUUUCAUUAAUCAAGAACGAAAGUUAGGGGAUCGAAGACGAUCAGAUACCGUCGUAGUCUUAACCAUAAACUAUGCCGACUAGGAAUCGGGCGUCGUUAUUUUAAUGACUCGCUCGGCGCCUUACGGGAAAC
rnacentral:rRNA from 1 species